UGCCCUAGUAACGGCGAGUGAAGCGGCNACAGCUCAAAUUUGAAAUCUGGCCCUAGUGGUCCGAGUUGUAAUUUGUAGAGGAUGCUUUGGGUGCGGUCCUUCCGAGUUCCCUGGAACGGGACGCCAGAGAGGGUGAGAGCCCCGUACGGUUGGACACCUAACCUAUAUAUAGCUCCUUGACGAGUCGAGUAGUUUGGGAAUGCUGCUCUAAAUGGGAGGUAUAUUUUUCUAAACUAAAUACCGGCCAGAGACCGAUAGCGCACAAGUAGAGUGAUCGAAAGAUGAAAAGCCUUUGAAAAGAGGGUUAAAUAGCACGUGAAAUUGUUGAAAGGGAAGCGUUUGCGACCAGACCUUUUCCCGGCGGAUCAUCCGGCGUUCUGCCGGUGCCUUCGCCCGGUUUAGGCCAGCAUCGGUUUUCUUAGGGGGAUAAAGGCCAGGGGAACGUAGCUCUUCGGGAGUGUUAUAGCCCCUGGCGUAAUACCCUCGGGGGACCGAGGACCGCGCUUUUGCAAGGAUGCUGGCGUAAUGGUCGUCAACACCCGUCUUGAAACACGGACCAAGGAGUCAACAUUGGUGCAGUGUUUGGUGUUAAACCCUCACCGUAAUGAAAUGAACGGAGGUGAGAGCCCUUACGGUGCUCAUCACCGAUCCUGAUGUCUUCGGAUGGAUUUAGUAAAGCAUCACUGUUCGGACCCGAAAGAAUGUGAACUAUGCUGUGAUAGGUGAACCAAGAAACUCUGGUGAGGCUCGCACGGUUCUACGUGCAAAUCAUCGUCAAAUCUGCGCAUGGGGGCGAAA
rnacentral:rRNA from 1 species